GAUGAACGCUAGCGAUAGGCUUAACACAUGCAAGUCGAGGGGCAGCGAGGGUAGCAAUACCUGUCGGCGACCGGCGCACGGGUGAGUAACGCGUAUGUAACCUGCCCGCAACAGGGGGAUAACCCGGCGAAAGUCGGACUAAUACCGCAUAAAACAGGGGCCCCGCAUGGGAAUAUUUGUUAAAGAUUUAUCGGUUGCGGAUGGGCAUGCGUACCAUUAGGUAGUUGGUGAGGUAACGGCUCACCAAGCCUUCGAUGGUUAGGGGUUCUGAGAGGAAGGUCCCCCACACUGGUACUGAGACACGGACCAGACUCCUACGGGAGGCAGCAGUGAGGAAUAUUGGUCAAUGGGCGAGAGCCUGAACCAGCCAAGUCGCGUGAAGGAUGACUGCCCUAUGGGUUGUAAACUUCUUUUACAAGGGAAUAAAAUGAGAUACGUGUAUUUUAUUGCAUGUACCUUGGGAAUAAGCAUCGGCUAACUCCGUG
rnacentral:rRNA from 1 species